GCGAGGCGGCGACGUUAAGCAAAUCCCAGAAAUAACGUCCCAGUUCGGAUUGUAGUCUGCAACCCGACUACAUGAAGCUGGAAUCGCUAGUAAUCGCGGAUCAGAAUGCCGCGGUGAAUACGUUCCCGGGUCUUGUACACACCGCCCGUCACACCAUGGGAGCCGGGGGUGCUUGAAGUGCGUCGCCGCAAGGCGCGCCCUAGAGCAAAACCGGUGACUGGGCUAAGUCGUAACAAGGUAUC
rnacentral:rRNA from 1 species